CGCGGCCUAUCAGCUUGUUGGUGAGGUAACGGCUCACCAAGGCAUCGACGGGUAGCUGGUCUGAGAGGAUGAUCAGCCACACUGGGACUGAGACACGGCCCAGACUCCUACGGGAGGCAGCAGUGGGGAAUAUUGCACAAUGGGCGAAAGCCUGAUGCAGCGAUGCCGCGUGCGGGAUGAAGGCCCUAGGGUUGUAAACCGCUUUCAGCAGGGAAGAAAAUGACGGUACCUGCAGAAGAAGGUGCGGCCAACUACGUGCCAGCAGCCGCGGUGACACGUAGGCACCAAGCGUUGUCCGGAUUUAUUGGGCGUAAAGAGCUCGUAGGCGGUUCAGUUAGUCGGGUGUGAAAACUCUGGGCUCAACCCAGAGACGCCACCCGAUACUGCUGUGACUAGAGUACGGUAGGGGAGUGGGGAAUUCCUGGUGUAGCGGUGAAAUGCGCAGAUAUCAGGAGGAACACCGGUGGCGAAGGCGCCACUCUGGGCCGUAACUGACGCUGAGGAGCGAAAGCAUGGGUAGCAAACAGGAUUAGAUACCCUGGUAGUCCAUGCCGUAAACGUUGGGCACUAGGUGUGGGUCUCAACCAACGAGAUCCGCGCCGUCGCUAACGCAUUAAGUGCCCCGCCUGGGGAGUACGG
rnacentral:rRNA from 1 species